UACCUUUCUUCCACCGCCGGUAGGGUGUACAACCUUCAACCUUGUGUUCGUUUUGAAGUUGAGCACUUGCUUUACUUUUUUGUUUUUCGACCAGGUCCAGGUCGGGGGGAGACGAGACGGAUAUAUAGGCCGGGCGCAGGGCGCGAAGAGGAGGUUGUGCGUGUUGUGUCCGAGGGGUAAGAAAGAAUAAUUAAGGGCGGCCCGCGCACGCGCACGCGCACCCGCCCGCAUGCCGUCGCUCGGAGAGGGCCUGAGGCUAAGGAAGGAAGGCCGCCUCGACUAGCGUAGAGGAAGAGGAGAGGGUCUCUCCUUUGGGCCUCCUUCGUCUCUGCCGGCCUGUCUACCUAAACCCUCGUCUCGUCGUGCCGACGCUCGUAAUGUGCUCCUCCACGUCCUAUGCCCGCGGGACGACGCCGCUCCAGAAGCCGACGGCCGUAACGGUAUUGGUUCGAUUCUUAAGCGACCUCCACCUGGAGGAGCUGGCCGUGCUUUAGGGGGCGGUGCUUUAGUCAUUCCAAUAGACGAGAGAGACGUUGUUUCUUGUCCUACACGUUGUCUUGACGAGGCCAACGCCCCGUACGUACCCUUUUAUGAAGACACUUUUUACGUUGAAGAAACUGCUACUAUAGAGUUUCUUCGUCAUGGUGACGCUACCUACGCCGUAGACGUCUUGACCGCCGUAUCUGUUGAAGAAGGUGACGCUUUUUACGCCCACAACGAUGUCGUUACAAAACUUCCUGAGAGUAGUAACACACCUUGCUCGUUACGUAGUGUUGACGGGACAGACGAAGCUCAUGGAUAAACUGAGCUGAUACCUGUAGUCGCAUGACGUGACGCCCGUGUGCUAGGUAAACCUUACGGACUUGCUCUACUCCCAAGUAGUGGUGAAGAGCACGGGCCAGACGAGUGCCAGCCGGACGCUGUACUGGCUACGUACCGUCUUCGAGCUGGUCCUCCAGCGGCGGUGCGGCUACGGUCUCAAGAUGGUCUUCUUCUACCAUACCUAGGAGACGUUGCUGACGCCCCGCUGCAGCUCGCACGCGAAGGUGCAGGACCGCGUUUUCACAGGACCCACGUCGAGGAUGUUGUGGUCCCUCUGCUCCCCGCCGGGCCGAUAUCGCCGCACGAGGUCUCAGACUCGCGGUCCUCCUCUGCUGUCAUGUUGUAUGUGAUGAGUGAGUAUCAGUGUCGACACUGCGAUAGGUCCUAGACCAGUUCUACUACCCCCGUAAUCUCGAUCGAACAUCCAACUUCGACGUCCACGAACGACGUCAUCCUUCGUGGCCUCUCACUGCGCAGAGGAGACACUUGUUCGGUCCUUAACGAACGAUAGCGGCUGUCCCUCCGACGGCGCCGACGAGUAACGUCAAGCCUCCUGUUGUUUUGAGCGACGCGAACGUAUUUAGGCUUCUUUACUAAAUGGCGAACUAGUAGGGGAGACUAUACAUACUCAACAACACACCAUGUACUGGGACAGAUCCCUCGAGGACAUUCCGAUACUUUGUUGAUGUGUGGUCUUUCUUUUGAAUAAGAAGAAAGACAAUCUUGAGGUAACGAUGAAGGUACAGAUGUUCGUGGUCUAACGCGGUACGUGACUACGUGUGGUUUUGUACAAAGACACUAGACAGACUAUUAGACUAACGAAACGUACUUCGUCUUUACAAACAUUGUCAUAGCUUGAAGUUUUUUAUUUAUCCCCGGUCAAAAGA
rnacentral:rRNA from 1 species